CCUACGGGAGGCAGCAGUGGGGAAUAUUGCACAAUGGAGGGAACUCUGAUGCAGCGACGCCGCGUGAGUGAAGAAGUAAUUCGUUAUGUAAAGCUCUAUCAGCAGGGAAGAAAGUGACGGUAACUGAAAAAGAAGCCUCGGCUAAAUACGUGCCAGCAGCGACGGUAAUACGUAUGGAGCAAGCGGUAUCCGGAUUUACUGGGUGUAAAGGGAGAGUAGGUGGCAGAGCAAGUCCGAAGUGAAAACCCAAAGCUCAACUAAUGGAAUGCUUUAGAAACUGCUCAGCUAGAGUGCAGGAGAGGCAAGUGGAAUUCUGAGUGGAGCGGGGAAAUGCGUAGAUAUUAGGAGGAACACCAGUGGCGACGGCGGCUUGCUGGACUGUAACUGACACUGAGGCUCGAAAGCGUGGGGAGCAAACAGGAUUAGAUACCCUUGUAGUC
rnacentral:rRNA from 1 species